rnacentral:lncRNA from 1 species
CAGCUGGAGCCCUCUCAUGCUCUUGUUGUUCAGAAGGACAUUUGAGAACACAGGACUGAUUCACCACUUGAUGCCUGGCUGUUUAUCCCUCAGGAUCAUUGAUGGACAUGAUCUGAUGCCCCUACUUGAAGGAAAAUACCAGUACUCUGAUCAUGAGUUUCUCUUCCGUUACUGAAAUGCCCACUUAAACGCUGGUGCCCUUGGAACAAAUCUCACUCUGUCACCCAGGCUGCAGUGCAAUGGUGUGAUCUCGGUUCACUGCAACUUCCACCUCUCUGAUUCAAGAGAUUCUCCCAUCUCCGCCUCCUGAGUAGCUGGGACUACAGAUGGGACUGACUAGAUGCAGGAAAACUAGCUCAGGGCUGCCACUGAUUCUACAUUAUGGACUGACACCACAUGGAGGCUUGAGACUUACACCCUCUGAAGCCAUGGCCCAAGCUGUACUUUUGCUCCUUUUUACCACAGUUGAAACAGCACAAGUUGGAACAAAGCACCAAGUCCAGAGGCAGCACAAAGCAGUGGGAAAAGCAUUUUUUUCCUCCUAUACCUCCAGACCUGUGAUGGGAAGACUACCAUCAAGGUUGCUGAGAUGGCCUGGAGACAUUUUCACCAUUGGCUCCUCAUUAAUUUUGCAAAUUUCAUCAAUGAGUUUGAAUUUCUUCCCAGAAAAUGGUUUUCUUUCUUUUCUACUGCAUCAUCAGGCUUCAAAUUUUCUAAACUUUUAUGCUCUGUUACUUCUCGAAUACUUUGCUGCUUAGAAAUUUCUUCUGCCAGAUACCCUUAAAUUUUCUCUCUUAAUUUCAAAGUUCCAAAGAUCUCUAGGGCAGGGGCAGAAAGCUGCCAGUCUCCUUGCUAAAGUACAGCAAGAGUCACCUUUACUCAAGUUCCCAACAAAUUCUUCAUCUCCAUCUGAGACCACCUCAGCCUGAAUAUUAUUGUCCAUAUUACUAUCAGCAUUUUGGUCAAAGCCAUUCAGCAAGUCGCUAGGAGGCUCUAAACUUUCUCACAUCUUCCUGUCUUCCAAACCCUCCAAUUCUCUAGGCAGUUCCAAAGUUUCCCACAUCUUCUUGUUUCCUUAGCCCUCCAAGUCUCUAGGAAGUUCCAAGGCUAUCCCACAUUUUUCUGUCUUCUUCUGAGCCCUGAAAACUGUUCCAACCUCUGCUUCUUACCCACUUCCAAAGUCACUUCCAUAUUUUUGGGUACCUUUACAGCAGCACCCCACUACCAGCUACUAAUUUAUUGUAUUAUUCAGUUCUCAUGCUGAUAAUAAAGACAUACCCAAGACAGGGUAAUUUAUAAAGGAAAGAAGUUUAAUAGACUCACAGUUCCUUAAGGAUGGGGAGGCUUCAGGAAUCUUAUGAUCAUGGCAGAAUGGGAAGCAAACAUGUCCUUCACAUGGCAGCAACAAGGAGAAGUGCAGAGCAAAGGUAGGACAAAGCACCUUAUAAAAACAUAGAUCUUGUGAGAACUCACUAUAAUGUGAGCAACGUGGAGAUAAACACUCUCAUAAUUCAAUUAUUCCCACUGGGUCUCUUUCAUGACAUGUGGGAAUUAUGGGGACUACAAUUCAAUAUGAGAUUUGGAUGGGGACACAGCAAAAACAUAUCACCAUAAGAGGGCAUAAGACAGCCUGGUUCCCUGUGUCACCACCAGGAGCAGCUCCAGAGAGUUGCCUGCUCAACAGGUGGCUGUAACCUGAAUGAGAACUAAACUGUUUUUAAAUAUGAGGAACUGAGAUUUGGAGGUUGUUAAGUAUAACAUCAGCAGGAGAUAAUUACCUUGACUAAUACAAGAGGUCAGCCAUACUAGAUAAACCUAACAUUUUAUGAUAAUUCUUUGGAUUUCAAAAAGAUGCUUUGAUUUACUGGUACUCUUUAAAUGGAAGUUAUGUGCAUUAUCUUUAAAGGCUAUCAGCUAUGUGAAAGUGAUAAUUGAAUAAAAUUAAAGAUAAAAAUAUAGUGGAGUCUACUACCAAUUGACCAUGGCCCUGAAUUGAUUGUAAGUGAUUCUGCUAUUCCAGUAUAAAUGAGCGGAGAGGCAGAGUUGAUUAAUUUCCACAACAAAUGUAAUUAUUACUUAAAUGUUGAGGUUCUUUUUGAAACAUUUCAUUUUGCUUCACUGGAUUCUAUGAGAAUAAUAGAUUUCAAAAUAUAUUACACUUAUUGGGGAAUGAUGUUAUUUUUAGUGGCAGUUGCAACUUUAAAAUUUUUCAAUGAAUAUAUAUAUUACAUAUUUCAUAGUAUUAUAAAUACAUACAUUUUUUAAGAUGGAGUUUCACUCUUGUCACCCAGGCUGGAAUCCCAUGGCACAAUCUUGGCUCACUGCAACCUCCUCCUCUUGAGUUCAAGUGAUUCUCUUGCCUCAAUCUCCCGAAGAGCUGGGUUUACAGGCACCCGCCACCAUGCCCAGCUAUACAGGCACACACCACCAUGCCCAGGUUUUUUUUUUUUUUUUUUUUAUUUUUAGUACAGUCAGGAUUUCACCAUGUGGGCCAGGCUGGUCUUGAACUUCUGACCUUAGGUGAUCUGCCCACCUCGGCCUCCCAAAGUGCUGUGAUUACAGGCAUGAGCCACUGCACCCAGCCCCAGUGGAUAUAUUUUUUGUAAUGUAUUAUUGAAUUCCCUAUAAACUUUGUCACGUUGAAAUACUUUUUAAAAUACUUCCCGUGCCUACAUAGUAGUUCAGUAAAUGCAAUAUUUUAGUUUCGUUAAUGACAUCUUGGUCUUAGGAAAAGAUGAAACAAUGACAUAAUAUUUUAAGCCAAGCUAUUUCUGCAAUCUUUGAAAUAAUACCAUUGAACUUGUGUUUAAUAUUUCCAAUUAGUUCAUGUGAUUCUUGCAUUUUGUGCUUUUUCUUCAUGUGAAUUAAUAAUUCCAAUAAUUAAUUGGAAUUAUUUCCAAUUAAUUUAUGUGAUUCUUGCAUUUUCUUUCAAAGUCAGAUGGUUAACUAUGUCAUUAAUGCAAAGUGUAGGCUCUGUGUUGAAAUCUGAAGACACUCUGCAGCAAGGUUUGCACAUACUCUUGUCUACUGCCUCAGGCUGAUGUGUGUGAAAGUCAGAAGUUCUAUAGGAAGAAGCUGGAAAAAUUCAAAGCUUGAAAUAAUUCAGGAAAGGGCACUGGUGGCAUUUUAUCUACAAGGGCAGUGCAUCUGGUCUGUAACUGCUAAGAGAAAGCCGGAUCAAACAGUCCAUCCAUUAGAGCUUGUAUCAAGGUGAGCUGUUCACAUUGUUACAUCAGGGGCAGAGACAAAGAGAGCUCUGUAGCAUAUCCCAUUGCACUGAAGGGGAGUAGAGGGCAGCAUCUUGGGGCCACAUGCAGGUGCUACAGGUGGGGAUGUGGGAUGGUGUUUGGUAAGUUACAUGGAUCCCAGACAUGAUUCUAAGUGCUUUAAUAUAUACAUCUAUUUAAUCUUCACUGCACAUCUGCCAGAUAGCUGUUAUUAUUUUCCUGUUACACAUGAGGACCCAGGCAAAAAACUACAUAAAUUGCUUUAUGGUUUGAUUUAUGGAAUGAUCUUUUGGUUAAUAUCAAAAGAAAUGGAUAGAUUCAUGACCUUCAUAUAUGACUGUGAAUGCUAUGUACUGCACAACUCCAGAGGCAGCAUUAACAUAAUCCACAGUGGGAAGAACAUUUUCUAAAUUUGUGCAGUGCACAACCUGUGUCACCAUAUGUAUCAAUAUCCAUUAGAUAAUCUUGUUGCAAAAAUAGAUGCCUAUGUAAGUUGGACACAACUGACUACCAUAGUUUGUAUAGCAAAGGACACAGGAGUAUGCUGUGUAAAACCCAUGGAUAAGUCUGUGAGUUAGUAUAUCAACAUAAGACAUUCUGAGUGGAAAAAGCAAUCCAAGUGUACUGCUCAUUAAAAUAGAGCUCAUAUUAACAAAGAGUUGAUAUAUUACAUUAAGAAAAAAUGCACAAGAUUUUGUUGGUUUACUUUUCUCUGGGCAUUACCAUGCUGUCUGCUAAAGAUUUCCAGCUCACUCUGCUGCUCAGGCACAUGAUAGGGCUGAACUCUGGCCUUUAGUGAACAGUAAGGAGAGAUGUCACAGUCUAUUUCAGAGCUACGACAUCUGUUGCCAGCACUUUCUUAAAAUCCCACACAGAGGCUGGUCCCUCAGGGUGGUCUCUGAAUUAAGAUGACACCAAACAGAGUUCCAGAUAACUCAAGAGGAAUACACAGUGUGAGCAAGAAAGAAAGCUUUGUUUCUGAAGCCACUGAAACUUGGAUAUUGUCCAUGUAGUCUAGAUACAUUCAUCCUGAGCAACUUAGGUUACCAUCCUGUUUCUGCAAAGGAAUGAGUUUCGUUUUGCAAAAUAUUUCAUUUCCUAUUUUUAUCCCUUAGGGAGUUUAUAGCUAAGGAAUGCUGGGAUAUUUUGGACCAUGAAAUAUCUGAGGCUUAAACUGACUUAGAAAGAUAAUUUAGACAGAAGAAAGGAAAAAUGAGGAUGGCUUCCAGCCAGGUAAAAACAAAACCAAAUGAAACUAAUGUUGAGAUUCACUGUAUCUUCAAAAGUAUACACAUUUACUAACUUUUACAGAGUGAAUAUUAGGGAAGUUGAUGGCACUUCAUUUGGUAACAUAUUAAGCCACAUGAAAAUUUAAUGAUUGUACAACUUCAAAUCCCUUUGUUUUAACAAGUAUAGCAAGACCUGCCUUUUAAUGUCACUUAUGUGUUUAAAAUGUUUAAUCCUACUUAAUUGUAUGUUAAUUAUUUGACAAUUCUUUUAAAGUAAAAAGACUACCUAGUAGUAACAAUAAUAUUCAUGUGCAUGCUACUUAUUAGUGCUUUGAAUACAACUAAAUGGUCUUUUGACCCUUUCUUGUUUAAAU